rnacentral:lncRNA from 1 species
UUACAAUCCCAGAGUCAGGAAGGUGUCUCAAAGCUGGAGCUAGAGUGCCCCAGGUGAGCUGGGGAAAUCCCUCUCCAAGCACAGCAGGUGCUCCUCUCACCUUGAAGAGAGGGGGGAGGAGGUCAUCUUUUAACGUUACAAACAGACAAGAAGAGCAGUAUUAAAGCAGGCUCUUGCAGCAGUCAAUGAAAAUACGACCGGAAGCAAUGGAUGGAGCCGUGGGAGUGGAGCGUGCUUUCCUCAAGCAGCCCUGCAAGGAGCUGAAAACAGCGUGGUUAACCCAGCAGGAGACUCUGGGGAGUGAGAGCCACGGACAGGAAGGAGCUGGUGCCACUCAGGAGCGUUUCCUACCAAAGGCUCACAUCUCCCUGUGUCCUUCCAGCAGGGAUUGCUGGCAGAGCAGGGUCCAUCCCUGCCCAGGGCAGGGAUGCGGGGAGCCCACGGAGCCCCAGCCUGCUGGGCUGCCCCUGUCAGGCUCUGGGGAGCUGGAGAUCACUGGAAGCCAGCCCCGCUGUCAACUCCCUUGCUCGUGCCUUGGUUGUACCCCUCACUUGUACCUGUAACCCUCGUUGCGUUCGUCGGGUAUUGCCUCCGCUGCUCCACAAAAUGGUGACCAGAACAUUCCUGGAAAAUAUGCAAAUCAAGAAAAGUGCCAGAAAAUCCAAGAGAAGGCCCUAGAAACAAUGAGCCAACCUAAAAUUUAAACAACUAAUCAACCUGACCUACCGGCAAGAAGUCCCUCUACCCUACUAACAUGAUUUUAAGCAUCGCCAUAACUUCAGUAGAAUGAAGUCAGAUUGAGGACCCCAGCCGACGAGCCAAAAGACGUCUUCCUAGGCACGCCCGUGAGGACGGAAGCCCCAGUUCUGUUGUGAAGCAAAACUGCUCACCUCCUCCUUUGCGUCGCUGAAGGGAGCAGCGGCAGUGUGUGCGACCCUCUGGGCCCCCACCCAGAGCUGAUCACCUUAAUAAAGGUGUUCAAAAGGAGCUGGUCUCCUUGCGC